ACCGGAAACAGAGACAGCUCGUCUUCAUAGUAAAGAUUGCGUGUUUAAUUUUCAAUUUAAGGAGAGUACAGCUAACCUUUGCCGUGAGGUACAAUUGUUGCCGGAAUCUGACUUUCGCGAGAUCGCACGUGAUUCACAGCUGGCGCUAGGAGGAAGAGAGACGGACGUCGUCGUCGUUUGUAAUUGGUGGAUUUAUGUGUCCGUCUACAGUUUCUGUGAAAGUAACCAAUGAACGCUCAGGAAAUCACUAAGGUCCCACCCAUUACCUUAGACACGCUGCAGUUCAGUCAACAGCGGAGAGGUUUGAAAAAUGGAAAGUGUGGAGACUGGUGCAGCGGUCUGGCAAAGCAGAGACGGAGCUUAGGGCCUGAAUGGUUUGAUUCCUACUUUGAGGAGGAACACCACACUAGAAGGGGUCCAUUUGAAUAUGGAGAGGAUUCACAGCUGCCAAAGCCCAGUGAACUACAUGCAGCAUCUCUCCAGCAGCCACCACCUCUUUCUCUGCCUGCCACUAGGUCAAGAUGAUCCUCGGCACAAGGGCCUCCAUCACAGCCAUUACCACCAGCAAAGAUGUCCUGUGCCCCUCAAGCACAAGUACCUCCCCCACAGCCACCAGCAGCAAACAGCAGCCAACCCUGCUGUCUUGGAAUACAGACAACGAUCGAGACACUGCUCCCUCUGUCUCCUGGUUUCAACCAGCUCAGACACCAGGCAUACAGCUUAGCUCAGCUCCACUUCCACACAUACACCCCUUGACCUUUUCAAACUUUUUUUCACUGUACCAACAGGACAAACACUGUGUCAAAGCACAAACACUCUGGGGAAGAAAUACAAAUGGACAGACGUAGGGGAGUUUUACAAGUACAUUGGGCUGCUUCUGUUCAUAUACGGAUAGAUAUAGAACAAUAUCCUAGAACCUUUAUCUUAGCGACCCUGAUGAGGAUGUACAAACUCUUCCGACUAAAACCCAUGAUGGACACCCACAAGGAUGAAUGCAAGUUAUUUUAUCAUCCCCCAUAGAGAUCUGACUGGAUGAAAGAAUGGUCGCCUCCAAGGCUAAAACUGGGAUGACCCAGCAUAUGAAAGCAAACACCCAAGUGGGGAUUCAAGCUGUUUGUCUUGUCUCCUGAUUCAAAGAAUGGCUACACAGUGGACUUUACAAUUUGGACUGGCAAAAGAAACAGGCCUUUGGGUAUGGCCUGUCCUAUGAUUUUGUGAUGUCCCUUGUGCAGACAGGUUACCUAGGCACAGGCUACCACAUUUAUAUGGAGAUUUUUUAUUCUAGCCCCAAGCUCUUCAGUGCUCCCCCCGAUGAGCACAGAUUUGCUGCCUGUAGGACUUGCAGGGAGGACUGCAAGGACUCUCCGCAGACAUAAAUGCCCUCAGAAGAAAAUCAGAAAAGGGCUCCAUAAGAUGGAUGUGGUAUGCCUCAUCAUCCAUGAGAAAAGGAUGGACACAAGGGUAGUAUCAGUAUGCUCCAUGAUUCACACAGCACACUCUGGAAAAACUGUGCCAAGGAGGAUGACACAACAAGAUGCCUCCUGGACAAAGGUAUCAACCCCCUGGCCUACAUUUUGCAUCAUGGCACGUCAGUCAAAAAAAUGAAUCCUGAAAACAUGCACAUUAUGUAAAUAUGGCAAAUAGUAUAUUUUUCUGUAUGAUUUUUUUAAAAAUAUAUAGUAAAUAUUUGGUUUGAGA